rnacentral:lncRNA from 11 species
GGAAGCCAGGGCUCUGGUUCUGCAAGAGCUGAGCAGGGCGUUUGGUGACGGGGGACUUGGAGGUCUCAUACUGAUAAGAGUGAAGCACAACCUCAAGCAAGGUAGAGCUGCUGCUUUAAAAAGGCCAAGGAGAGAAAACUCCUACAGUGAUCUCGUAACACUAUUCAGGAAUUGUCAGCAUCACUUCAUGUUUUCAAGGAAUACCAUUUAUCACCACAUGCUUCAAUCCCCAUAGAUGCAUGGUGAUGGGAUGCUCAUUAUAAGGAACUGUAACUUAAAGAACACAGGCAUGUAUACUAUUCCCCAGCUGCCAUUACAAAGCUUGUGAUCUCUUUUGUGUAGUUUCAGAUUCACAUUCUCAACUGUAAAGAUGUGUCAGGAA